AUAUGAUCUUGCAUCACUCCCAUGAACAUGUGAAAUAGAACUUUUACUGACCGCAUGUCAAAUGUUGAUCCUAAGAAUGAUGGUUUGUGAGUCUCAUUGGCAGUAGCGAUGGUGUAAGGAGGUUGAGCUGUGGAUUCAUUCCAAUACUUAUCUUUUUCUAUGGGUGGAAGAUUCUGGUACAUGUCAUCCACAGAAAGAAAGGAAACCUACACAGAGACACAGUUCUGAAUGCACAAUGUUGUGUGUACAUAUUUAAAUAUUUGUGAUUUUAUGCUCUACAUAAGGGCAAUCAACACGCAGAAUAUAUCUUUGUAAAGUCAUCUCGGACAGUUUUAACAUAGAUCUGGGAGCAGCACACCGAAAGGUUGUGAUUUCAAAUAAACCAGUUGGACUGUAACCUGAUGUCCUGUGACUUCUGACACAGGAGCCCUUUAAUUCACACAUUAUUAUCAAAUAGCAAUGCAACAUGGAAUCCCUGAUUCUUGCCUGUUUGUUUUACAUCUAAUCUCCAUUUGAUCUUCUUUAUUUCAGCAAACCCUGACUGUAAUAAACUGCUAAUGUAACAACCUUGUCUUCCAAACUCAGCAGGUAAUCUGUAACAUGUGAGCUCCCAUCGUUUGAAGUCAAACUGUAAACUGUACUAUAUCCAUUGCACAACCUCCUUUUCUCUUUGCCUGGCCUUCGUCCAAGAAACUGACGUCCAAUCAGACAGAAGGCAAAGAAGGAGUAGACUGCAAUAGUAACCACCUGGGGAGAGACCAGCUAUGUCAUCCUCACCACUGGGAGUCGAGAGGUGGCAAAGACAUGGGCCAGGCUUUCAGGAGUAGCUGAGCUAUCAUAAAGAUGGUGGUGGACCUCACUAUAGAAGAAGUGGGAAGCUUACAUGAUGAAUCCUUGUGAAACUCUCAAAGUUGGUGCAGAGCUAUGUACGCAGACACAUUGCCAGGAGAGGUCGGCCAACAUUUUUAUAAAUAAGAAUCAAUGGCAGUUCCACCAAGGAGGAGAUAAUUUGGAGGAGGAUGAUCGGGUUGGAAGUGACCAUGUUAAAAGUGGCCGCAAGUGUCAUGAAGGUGGUUGUGGUGUGAAAAUUGAA